GACGAACGCUGGCGGCGUGCUUAACGCAUGCAAGUCGAACGGAAAGGCCCUGCUUUUGUGGGGUGCUCGAGUGGCGAACGGGUGAGUAACACGUGAGUAACCUGCCCUUGACUUUGGGAUAACUUCAGGAAACUGGGGCUAAUACCGGAUAGGAGCUCCUGCUGCAUGGUGGGGGUUGGAAAGUUUCGGCGGUUGGGGAUGGACUCGCGGCUUAUCAGCUUGUUGGUGGGGUAGUGGCUUACCAAGGCUUUGACGGGUAGCCGGCCUGAGAGGGUGACCGGCCACAUUGGGACUGAGAUACGGCCCAGACUCCUACGGGAGGCAGCAGUGGGGAAUAUUGCACAAUGGGCGGAAGCCUGAUGCAGCAACGCCGCGUGCGGGAUGACGGCCUUCGGGUUGUAAACCGCUUUCGCCUGUGACGAAGCAUGAGUGACGGUAAUGGGUAAAGAAGCACCGGCUAACUACGUG
rnacentral:rRNA from 1 species